GCCAGCGAGGUAUAGUGGUUUGAGUGUUGGACUUUGGCUCUGAAAAACCAGGGUUCGAUUCCCUGCUUGGCC